rnacentral:sRNA from 1 species
AUUUUACAGAGGCAGACAUUGCACAUAGGUAUGACUGCAAAAAUGGGUGGCUAACUCUGGGAAGAUACUUGUGUUAAACUUUAUAUGACAUUUAAUAACCCUUCAUCAUAAGGCAAUGUUUUUUACAAAAAGAUUGAAAAAAUCAUGUAAGUCAUUUACUCUGCAAAAAUGGCACAUUAGGUGGGGCUCCAAAAUCCAUAAUGAAACAAUGUGUUUUGCAACUAAGAAACAUUCAUUAUGAUGUAUGGAAAACACUGUCUGUCUACUUGUCCUUUACGAAAAAAUGUAAAACUCUGAGGAUCAUAAAAUUUAACUACUAAAAAUAAUCUUCGUGUUUAAGUGAUACUUAUUUAAGACUUUACACUGUUCUGUUUAACCAUGGUCUCCUGUCUGAUUUUAGCCAUAAUUGCAAAGUAUUUCUAACUACAACAAUUUAAUUUUAGACACACCCGUGAGGAAGUUGCAAGCCAACAAAAAAGUUCAAGGAUCUAGAAGACGAUUAAGGGAAGGUCGUUCUCAGUGAAAAUCCAAAAACCAGACAAAAAUGUUUAUACAACCCUAAGUCAAUAACCUGACCUUAGAAAAUUGUGAGAGCCAAGUUGACUUCAGGAACUGAAACAUCAGCACAAAGAAGCAAUCAUCAAAUAAUUCUGAACACAAAUUUAAUAUUUUUUUUUCUGAAUGAGACACAUGAGGGAAAUUGUGGAGUUAGCCUCCUGUGGUAAAGGAAUUGAAGAAAAUAUAACACCUUACACACUUUUUCAUCUUGACAUUAAAAGUUCUGGCUAACUUUGGAAUCCAUUAGAGAAAAAUCCUUGUCACCAGAUUCAUUACAAUUCAAAUCGAAGAGUUGUGAACUGUUAUCCCAUUGAAAAGACCGAGUCUUGUAUGUAUGUUAUGGAUACAUAAAAUGCAUGCAAGCCAUUAUCUCUCCAUGGGAAGCUAAGUUAUAAAAAUAGGUGCUUGGUGUACAAAACUUUUUACAUCAAAAGGCUUUGCACAUUUCUAUAUGAGUGGGUUUACUGGUAAAUUAUGUUAUUUUUUACAACUAAUUUUGUACUCUCAGAAUGUUUGUCAUAUGCUUCUUGCAAUGCAUAUUUUUUUAUCUCAAACGUUUCAAUAAAACCAUUUUUCAGAUAUAAAGAGAAUUACUUCAAAU